rnacentral:rRNA from 1 species
ACUCAAAUGAAUUGACGGGGACCCGCACAAGCGGUGGAGCAUGUGGUUUAAUUCGAAGCAACGCGAAGAACCUUACCAGGCCUUGACAUCCCAUUGACCGGUCCUUAACCGGACCUUUCCUUCGGGACAAUGGAGACAGGUGGUGCAUGGUUGUCGUCAGCUCGUGUCGUGAGAUGUUGGGUUAAGUCCCGCAACGAGCGCAACCCUUAUCCUUAGUAGCCAGCACUUCGGGUGGGGACUCUAGGGAGACUGCCAGGGACAACCUGGAGGAAGGCGGGGAUGACGUCAAAUCAUCAUGCCCCUUAUGGACUGGGCUACACACGUGCUACAAUGGCGGUGACAAAGGGAAGCGACCCUGCGAAGGUGAGCGAAUCCCAAAAAAGCCGUCCCAGUUCGGAUUGUAGUCUGCAACUCGACUACAUGAAGCCGGAAUCGCUAGUAAUCGCGAAUCAGCAUGUCGCGGUGAAUACGUUCCCGGGUCUUGUACACACCGCCCGU